AGAAAACAAGAGAACAGAAAAGAAAAGAAAAAAAAAAGGAAAGAAAUAAAAAGGAUCCUGAACGUUCAAUCAAAAGGAUGGGAAACAAAGGCCGUUGACAUGUGUGUCACAUGAUACGCUGAGACCAGCCCACAUUGGCCACUUCUUUUACCUGUCCAUCACUCGGUUGCUUUUCUAAAGAUGAGAAGUCUCGCUUGAAAGAGGACAUUUGCGUCCGUACGCGAGUUAUUGUGCACCUUUAUCGUUCCUUUCGCGAUCAAUCCCAGAUAUCGAUAAUAUUUAUUUAAAAGUAAGGAACCACCGGAGAUGCGAUAAAAUUGGAAAUUUUCUACUCUUUCCGUCCACGGGAAUAGAGGGGUGUUAAAUUCUCUGUGAGAUUCGAUUGGCCAAUGCUUUGGCGGUGGGCAUACAUUUCCCGUCCGGAAGAAACGAUCAUUUUGAAAAAGCCACCAGGUGACGAGAGAUUCGAUCGGUUUCGCUUUUCAUACAGGAAAUUAGAAGACGCGUCAUCUGGUUCUGGUCUAGUAAGAGUAGCAACCCUUUACUCGAACGGGGUAGCUUCGCAGCGGGGCCCUAUCACACCUCUUCGAGACGUAGAUUCUUCAUAUAUGAGCCCAGUUACGUUUCGGGCUUGCUUAAGGAAAGAUCGUGAUUGUGCUUGAUCUCGAUGAAAAUCGAUAGUACAAAUUGUUAUCGUGUAUUCGUCGAUUUAAUCGAAUGUAAUCGAAGACGAAGAUCAAUCGGAGUUUGUAAUAAAAGAUUUCACGUUCGCAUGGAGUUUUGGUGGAAGAAAUGAAGAAGAAAAAAAAAAGGAAAAAAUAUAGGAAAAGAAAAGACAAAAAAAAGGAAAGAAAAGAAAAUGUGGGCCCUGGAAAGAACGAACGAUGAUAUUGCGAAAUUCCACGAUCGAACUCUCGACCUUCUCAUUGGAAGGUUAUUUUCGCUUAAGGAAAAAGGGAAGGGCGUCGCGAAAGUAGAGAUAGAAAUUGUUAGGCUAAGAGGUUCCGGUUUGAUGAGUGAUCCUUAAGGUGAUUUGAUUUGUCGGAUAACAAACGAUAGCUCUAGACCUUUAAACGUUAGCUUUAACGUUACUUUCGAUCUUGAUCUUUUAAAAGGUCAUACAUCGUUACCUUGAAAGAAAAAAAGGAGUAGUAGAUGAUGACGAUGAUGAAGAAAGAAAAAGAAGAAGAAGAAGAAGAAAAAGUAUAGCAGCAGUAGUUACGAAAAUGAUUCAAGUGUCAACUUUAUUUCUCCUUUUUUGAAUUUAAUAAUGAUUAAGAGUUGUAUCUUCGUACAACGCGUGUGCCAUGGUGUCCAGUUUUUGACCCGGAAGAAAAGGCCGACGGAAGUUUAGGGUGACCUUCUCUAGGGCAAAACCUUACGAGAACCCUUCUUAUACGUGCCUUGAAAACUCAAAGGAAAACGAGUUUUGACAUUUCUUGACCACGUGCCAACACCUCUUUUCGACCCGUCGGCUUAUUCCAUU